rnacentral:rRNA from 1 species
UAGAAUUGACGGGACCCGCACAAGCGGUGGAUGAUGUGGUUUAAUUCGAUGCAACGCGAAAACCUUACCACCUUUGACAUGUACGGAAUCCUUUAGAGAUAGAGGAGUGCUCGAAAGAGAGCCGUAACACAGGUGCUGCAUGGCUGUCGUCAGCUCGUGUCGUGAGAUGUUGGGUUAAGUCCCGCAACGAGCGCAACCCUUGUCAUUAGUUGCUACAUUCAGUUGGGCACUCUAAUGAGACUGCCGGUGACAAACCGGAGGAAGGUGGGGAUGACGUCAAGUCCUCAUGGCCCUUAUAGGUGGGGCUACACACGUCAUACAAUGGAUGGUACAAAGGGUCGCCAACCCGCGAGGGGGAGCCAAUACCCAUAAAGCCAUUCGUAGUCCGGAUCGCAGUCUGCAACUCGACUGCGUGAAGUCGGAAUCGCUAGUAAUCGUGGAUCAGAAUGUCACGGUGAAUACGUUCCCGGGUCUU